rnacentral:rRNA from 1 species
UACGGAGGGGGCAAGCGUUGUUCGGAAUCACUGGGCGUAAAGCGCGUGUAGGCGGCCUCUUAAGUCUGGUGUGAAAGCCCGGGGCUCACCCCCGGAAGGGCACUGGAUGCUGGGAGGCUAGAGUACCGGAGAGGAGGGUUGAAUUCCUGGUGUAGCGGUGAAAUGCGUAGAUAUCAGGAGGAACACCGGUGGCGAAGGCGGCCCUCUGGACGGCUACUGACGCUGAGACGCGAAAGCGUGGGGAGCAAACAGG